AUAGGGGGAUUUGAGUUGUUGCCAGGGCGUUGCUAUAGGGGGAUUUGAGCUGUUGCUAGGGCGUUGCUAUAGGGUGAUUUGAGUUUUUGUCAGGGCGUUGCUAUAGGGGGAUUUUAGUUUUUGUCAGGGCGUUGCUAUAGGGUGUUUUGAGCUGUUGCCAGGGCGUUGCUAUAGGGUGAUUUGAGUUUUUGUCAGGGCGUUGCUAUAGGGGGAUUUUAGUUUUUGUCAGGGCGUUGCUAUAGGGUGUUUUGA